AGACAGAGGCCUCAAGCGUUAGGCGGAAUCACUGGGCUUAAAGCGUGUGUAGGUGGACUUCUAAGUGCUUUGUGAAAUCCCACGGCUCAACCGUGGAAAUGCUUGGCAUACUGGAAGUCUUGAGCCAUCUAGGGGCAACUGGAACAGACGGUGGAGCGGUGAAAUGCGUAGAUAUUGGAAGGAACACCAGUGGCGAAGGCGACUAUCUGGACAGACACUGACACUGAGACACGAAAGCGUGGGGAGC
rnacentral:rRNA from 1 species